AUAAGAGAAAGGUUAUUCAACUUUUCCACCAUCACUUAACAAAGGAAUAGCUAAGCCAGGACUCAGAUUCAGGACUCUGUCUCCGUAUUUUUUGAAUCUACAGAGAGUGGCGAUGAUGCAGAAUUUUAGGUUUUGCUGUCCCAGGAAAGACAACUGCAUUCCAGAGAUAGUUUCGACCCUCACUCCACCCUCGCCCUCCGGUCACCAAUGAGGGCAAACUUGUUGCAAUUGGAGCUGCAGGCUGGAGCUGCAUCUCGACCAGGCCAGUCAGCUUAGAAUUAUAGCUGGGCAAAGUUGGAGAACGCAUCCUUGUAGCCAAUGAGUAACUGCCAGCAUGAUUUGACCUUAUAAAAGACCCCUGCUUCCUCUGGAUACCUGCUGCUACAUUGGAAGGUGCUGUGAGCCUGGACUCGACUGUCACUGUUCAGGAGCAAGAUGUGACUCAGUCCUUAAUGUGUCUCCACCUCAUCCUGGCCCGACUGAACCUCAAAACUACUCACUG